rnacentral:rRNA from 1 species
UGCGGAGGACAUUACCGAGUUCAUGCCCUUCAGAGUAGAUCUCCCACAAUUUGUAUACUAUACCUUUGUUGCUUUGGCGGGCCGCCUAGCUACUGGCUUCGGCUGGUAAGUGCCCGCCAGAGAACCCAAAACCCUGAAUUAUUAGUGUCGUCUGAGUAAAAUAUUUAAUAUUUAAAACUUUCAACAACGGAUCUCUUGGCUCUGGCAUCGAUGAAGAACGCAGCGAAAUGCGAUAAGUAAUGUGAAUUGCAGAAUUCAGUGAAUCAUCGAAUCUUUGAACGCACAUUGCGCCCCUUGGUAUUCCGAGGGGCAUGCCUAUUCGAGCGUCAUUAUCACCCCUCAAGCCUAGCUUGGUGUUGAGACCUGCUGUCAAGGCAGUCUCUAAAAUCAGUGGCAGUGCUGUCAGGCUCUAAGCGUAGUAAAUUCAUCGCUAUAGACACCUGGUGGCCACUCGCCAGAACCCCCCAUUUUUUAAUGAUUGACCUCGGAUUAGGUAGGGAUACCCGCUGAACUUAAGCAUAUCAAUAAGCGGAGGAAA